UGGACGGACGGACGAACGAACGGAUGGAUGGAUGGAUGGAUGGAUGGAUGUAUGGAUGGAUGGACAGAUGGACCAACAGAUGAUCUAAUGGAUGGAUGGACGGACACAUACACACAGAGGCAUGCAGGUGGCUGGGAAGGUGCUGAAUGUCAGCUACUUGACAGCAGGACUGUGAUGUGAUUCUUGGCUGUACCCCAGGGCCUAGAGCAGUGCCUGUGUAUAUCAGGUGCUUGAUCAACAUUGGUUGGUAGAGGUUUGGAUGAAAGGAUGGAUGGGUGGAUGUGCAAACACACAGGGGGCUCAAAGGCACCUCUCUGACUCUGUCUCCCAAAUGCCCAGCCCUGGGGAGCAUAGGUCUCAGGGUGAGAAGACCUGGCAGGACUGCUGCUGGCCUCUGAGCCGGCACAGGGCCUGGGGCCUGGGGCCUGGGGGAGGGCUGUGCUGAGGGUGAAUUCCCAGUGCCCAGGCACUAUGUGCCAGACCCCACCUCCAGAAGGCCUCAGAGGGUCUCUCUAACUGUUGGUCUUACAGAUGGGUCCAGGGGUCCAGAAAGGAGAGGUGGCACACCCUUGAGCCCACAGCAGGGACAGCGAGAGGCCUCAGCCCGGGGGCCAGGGCUUGUCCGCACCAGGAGGACAGCAGGACUGGGCCUGGCAGCUGCGCCUCUUUCUGGUGCUUCUGUCCCAGGCCAGCUGGGCCGUGGGGCUGGAUGGGGCUAAUCUGAUUUGCAGAGUCCCCAGUAUCAGAGCACAGGCACCAGGAUCCACUUACUGACAUCCCGCAGAGUCCAGACACCCACCAGGGAGGCACCAGAGCCACCCUGCCCCGGCCGGCCUUUGUCUUGCCAAGAAUGGCUGGCUUGUGUGGCAGCCACAGCGGGCAGGGGGUGGGCUGCGGCCACACUGGUGCAUAUCAGGCCCCAGGCAUGACCCCCCACCCUAGUCAUGACCCUGUGCCCGUGUCAGUGGGAUGGGAUCCAGAACAGUGGGAGGAGGGGCUCGAGGCCGGGUGGAGGGAGCAGGGGUCAGUUUUGGCCCCAGGGGAGCCCUGCUUGCUGUGUGAUCUUGGGCUUGUGUACCUCCCUGAUCCCAGGCUCCCCCUCUCUACCAUGGACCAAUGUUUUCUUCCCCCUUGGAAGGGUCAGGGAAGACGAUACAGCAUCAAAGGAUAUUCCAGGCUGCUCUGGAAGCAGGAGGGGAGGUUAUGUCCCCAGGAAUGGUGACCACCCCUGCUGAGAGAGGCCACCUCUCUGGUGUUGGACCAUCCGUCUAGGACGUGAGAGCUGGUGUUGGGCUCCAUCCAUCCGUCCAUCCAUCCAUCCGUCUGUCCGUCCAUCCUUCCAUCCAUUUCACCUGCUCAUCCCACAGCCUGCCUGAGCAUUUGCUCCUUGCCCAGCUCUGCUUGGGGCACUGGGGAAACAUAGGAGGCAGCCUUCCGUGACUUCUGCUGUCGCCCCGGUGGCCUCUGUCUCCAGAGCAGGUGGAGCAAGGAGGCUAUCUGCUUGCUCCCUGGACCCAGCGGACAUAUUCCCAGAGACAGGAUCUGCUUAGGGGCACACAGCCAGUUCUGGCAGAAUGGGGCCAGACCCCAAGGAGUGCCCCUCCUAGGUCAGGGCACUUGUAACUAUGGCUGCCCUGAAAUCCUCUUGGGGCUUCUUGCUGGGGGGCCACUCUGAGCCCCAUUGCACUUUGCUUUAGGAGCAGAGGGCCUUUGGGCUGGGUGUGUCCUCCAAGGGCCAGGCCUGGUGACUCCUCCAGUCAUGGGGCAGAGGCUGGGGGCUGAGAGGCAGCUGCUGCUGAGGCCUUUGGUAGAGGGAGGCCAGCAUCAGGCAGAUGAAUGGGCCAUUCAGGCAGGAGAAUCUUCAGGGUCACCCCGGACAGCCUCGAGCAGCCACCGAACCCUCCCCUUCCUGCAGCUGGAAAUAUCAUUGUGAUGUGGGAUGCUGGAGAUAGGACAGGAGCCACACAGACCCAGCUUUGCCCUCUAGAGCUCACAGCAUCCCGGCAGCCAGCAGAGAGAGAGAGAGGGCCAGCAAACAACUCCACGAGGGGGUCCCGCGAUAACAUGCGAGAAGUGGGUGGAGAAUGCCUGGCAAGCCUGGGUAGCCAAGGAGGGCCGGACAAGCGGGUGCAUGGGCUGAGACAUGGAGGGUGCCUGGGGACAUCAUCCUGGGGCAGGAAACGGCAGGUGCAAAGGCCCUGGGGCCAGAUGAGCUGCUGGCUCCCUCACUCCCUUGCUCAAGGAGCAUCUGAGCAGCACCCGCCAGAAGCCAAGGCUGUGCUCGUGUGCAUGGGCCAAGCUCCAGAGAGAACUCAGGGGGCUCCCAGGUCUGAGGGGGAUGGGGGCCAGGGCUGGGCGGUGCAGAGGAUGAGGGGAUGACCUUCCUCACAGAGACAGAAUACCAGGGGAGAGAAAAAGGUCCCCCUUCAUCCCUGUCCAGUGCACGGGAUUGUGGGGGCUUGGAGGCAUCCUGUGGCCGGGCUGCAGGAGUUCCCAGCCAGACCUGGUCCCCUGGGGAACGGGGUCCGGGAGGCCUGGUUUGCUGUGAGUCCACCUCCACAACCCACCUGGCCAAUGAGCAGAAGCCUGAGCUGGGGUUCAGGGACCCAUCCGUGGAGUUGCCCCUAGGGGAGGGCUUCCCACGUGGCACCCCACUGGGCCCCUCUCCCAAGCCCUCACCCCUCCCUCCCAGGCUCUGGAAACCUCUUGCUGUCCCCCUAAGUUAAUGUCCAGCCCUGCUUUCACAAAUGGCCACAGACUUGGCUGGAAACAAAAUAAAUUCAUUGUCUCAGUC